CCUCAGUACCCACUCCCAUCUUAGCAAAUAGAUCCUUGUAUACUAAAUACCAGAGCACUUGGCCAAGGACCUGCUGUACUGGAGGUCACAGGGUGUUUGGGGGGAUUUAAAGCUUAUGGUGCUGUUGAGGAAUCUUCAGUAUUCUGCUCCAAAAAUAAGCAAGUUCAUUAAGGAACCACUUAAUUUCCAUUCCCAGUUUUGUUCCUGUCCCAUAGAACUGAGAAAGAAGGAGGUUCUUGUGAUCAGCCAAUGUGUGGCCCCCAGUGAUGCGUGAGCUCUUUGUGUCUCUCACCAUUUGUUUAUUUUUUAAUUUAUUAUUACUAUUAUUACCCACUUGGUCUCUGUCCUAAAUAGACUGAUGGAUUUGUCCUCUGGGCUCUGAGUCGCAGCUGGACAGCAGCAGCGUCCGUCGGUAAUCCCAGGGUGUGGGAGCAGCCAGAGCUGGGGCCAGGAGCACAUGGGACACCCGGUGUCUCCUGGCUUCCCAACCCCAGCUCCAGCCCUGGGCAGAGCUCCAGGGCUGCUCUGCACCAGGAGGGGGAAUCCUAAACCAGCAAAGCACCAGGGGGUGUUUCUCCUAAUGUGACUCUUCGUGUGGAGAGAGGGAAAGGGAGAGGAGAGGAAAGGAAGAAAAUGUACAGAAUUUCCACAAACUCUGGUUUUCCUCCCUUUGUUUACAGGCUUGUGUGCACUGCUCAAGCCAGGAACGUGUGCUUGUGCAGCGGGAUUGGAGUCUGGGCUCUUCCUUUUCCCAGUGCCAAGUGUGCCAAGCUGGUGCUGCUCAUGGCUCCCAAAGUUCAUAUUCUGAACUGGAGGGAUCCUGGCAAAGUGGUUCCUGUGGUGCUCCGUGGCGUGGCAGAGCCAGGGCUGUCACCCCCACGUGCAGACAUUACCAGCCUGCACCAGCCUCUGGGCUUUCAGCUGGAGUGAAGAAACUGGACAGGUGGGGACAAAAACCUCUUAAUUUACUUCUUAAUGACCUAAAAAUGCUAAUUCAGAGACUCAUUAA
rnacentral:lncRNA from 1 species